GAGUNUCGUAGAGGGGGGNUAGAAUUNCCAGGUGNAGCGGUGAAAUGCGUAGAGAUCUGGAGGAAUACCGGUGGCGAAGGCGGCCCCCUGGACGAAGACUGACGCUCAGGUGCGAAAGCGUGGGGAGCAAACAGGAUUAGAUACCNUGGUAGUCCACGCCGUAAACGAUGUCGACUNGGAGGUUGUGCCNUGAGGCGUGGCUUCCGGAGCUAACGCGUUAAGUCGACCGCCUGGGGAGUACGGCCGCAAGGUUAAAACUCAAAUGAAUUGACGGGGGCCCGCACAAGCGGUGGAGCAUGUGGUUUAAUUCGAUGCAACGCGAAGAACCUUACCUGGUCUUGACAUCCACGGAAGUUUUCAGAGAUGAGAAUGUGCCUUCGGGAACCGUGAGACAGGUGCUGCAUGGCUGUCGUCAGCUCGUGUUGUGAAAUGUUGGGUUAAGUCCCGCAACGAGCGCAACCCUUAUCCUUUGUUGCCAGCGGUCCGGCCGGGAACUCAAAGGAGACUGCCAGUGAUAAACUGGAGGAAGGUGGGGAUGACGUCAAGUCAUCAUGGCCCUUACGACCAGGGCUACACACGUGCUACAAUGGCGCAUACAAAGAGAAGCGACCUCGCGAGAGCAAGCGGACCUCAUAAAGUGCGUCGUAGUCCGGAUUGGAGUCUGCAACUCGACUCCAUGAAGUCGGAAUCGCUAGUAAUCGUGGAUCAGAAUGCCACGGUGAAUACGUUCCCGGGCCUUGUACACACCGCCCGUCACACCAUGGGAGUGGGUUGCAAAAGAAGUAGGUAGCUUAACCUUCGGGAGGGCGCUUACCACUUUGUGAUUCAUGACUGGGGUGAAGUCGUAACAAGGUAGCAAUCACUAGUGAAUUCGCGGCCGCCUGCAGGUCGACCAUAUGGGAGAGCUCC
rnacentral:rRNA from 1 species